rnacentral:rRNA from 1 species
CCUACGGGUGGCAGCAGUGGGGGAUAUUGCACAAUGGGGGGAACCCUGAUGCAGCGACGCCGCGUGGAGGAAGAAGGAUUUCGGAUUGUAAACCUCUAUUAUCAGGGACGAAAAUGACGGUACCUGAAGAAAAAGCUCCGGCUAACUACGUGCCAGCAGCCGCGGUAAUACGUAGGGAGCGAGCGUUGUCCGGAUUUACUGGGUGUAAAGGGAGCGUAGGCGGUUAGGCAAGUCAGGUGUGAAAGCUGGGGGCUCAACCCUGAGACUGCAUUUGAAACUGUGGAACUUGAGUGAAGGAGGGGCAGGCGGAAUUCCUGGUGUAGCGGUGAAAUGCGUAGAUAUUAGGAGGAACACCGGCGGCGAAGGCGGCCUGCUGGACUUAAACUGACGCUGAGGCUCGAAAGCGUGGGGAGCAAACAGGAUUAGAUACCCGAGUAGUC